UACGUAGGGUGCGAGCGUUAAUCGGAAUUACUGGGCGUAAAGCGUGCGCAGGCGGUCUCGCAAGUCCGAUGUGAAAUCCCCGGGCUUAACCUGGGAAUGGCAUUGGUGACUGCACGGCUAGAGUGUGUCAGAGGGGGGUAGAAUUCCACGUGUAGCAGUGAAAUGCGUAGAGAUGUGGAGGAAUACCGAUGGCGAAGGCAGCCCCCUGGGAUAACACUGACGCUCAUGCACGAAAGCGUGGGGAGCAAACAGG
rnacentral:rRNA from 1 species